AUGAAGUGUGGUUAUUAUGGAAAUAUCGGACACAUCAAAGUAAAAUUCUUUGAAUUUUUUGGAUACUCGUCACAUUGGGACACUAGAUGCCGACAUCAAGGAAAUAACAUGUAUAGUGGAGAACAAAUUGUUGUUGUUGCGCACACGGUUCUUGAUGAUGAAGAACCAAAUAACAAGAAUGCAUAAUUAAAAACCAAGGCAUUUGAUUUACAUGGAAUGUGCAUUCAGUCACCAUACAAUAACAUGGAUGAUAAUAUAGAUAUUUAAAAA
rnacentral:lncRNA from 1 species